GAUGAACGCUGGCGGCGUGCCUAACACAUGCAAGUCGAACGGGAACAGAAUGAAACCUAGUGAUUUCUGUUUCAGUGGCGGACGGGUGAGUAACGCGUGGGUAACCUGCCUUGCACUGGGGGAUAACACUUAGAAAUAGGUGCUAAUACCGCAUAAGCGCACAAUACCGCAUGGUAGAGUGUGAAAAACUCCGGUGGUGCAAGAUGGACCCGCGUCUGAUUAGCCAGUUGGCGGGGUAACGGCCCACCAAAGCGACGAUCAGUAGCCGGCCUGAGAGGGUGAACGGCCACAUUGGGACUGAGACACGGCCCAA
rnacentral:rRNA from 1 species